AAUGAACGCUGGCGGCGCGCCUAAUACAUGCAAGUCGAGCGAGGAGACGUAGCAAUACGUUUGUAAAGCGGCGAACGGGUGAGGAAUACAUGGGUAACCUACCCUCGAGUGGGGAAUAACUAGCCGAAAGGUUAGCUAAUACCGCGUACGCUUCUUGGACUUCGGUUCAGGGAGGAAAGCGAUGCCGAGGGUACCGCGCUCUUGGAUGGGCUCAUGUCCUAUCAGCUUGUUGGUGAGGUAACGGCUCACCAAGGCUUCGACGGGUAGCUGGUCUGAGAGGACGAUCAGCCACACUGGCACUGCGACACGGGCCAGACUCCUACGGGAGGCAGCAGUAAGGAAUAUUGCGCAAUGGGCGAAAGCCUGACGCAGCGACGCCGCGUGGGGGAU
rnacentral:rRNA from 1 species